rnacentral:rRNA from 1 species
AGAGUUUGAUCCUGGCUCAAGAACGAACGCUGGCGGCAUGCCUAACACAUGCAAGUCGAACGAAGUCUUCGGACUUAGUGGCGCACGGGUGCGUAACGCGUGGGAAUCUGCCCUUGGGUGCGGAAUAACUUCUCGAAAGGGAUGCUAAUACCGCAUAAUGUCGUAAGACCAAAGAUUUAUCGCCCAAGGAUGAGCCCGCGUAAGAUUAGCUAGUUGGUGGGGUAAAAGCCUACCAAGGCGACGAUCUUUAGCUGGUCUGAGAGGAUGAUCAGCCACACUGGGACUGAGACACGGCCCAGACUCCUACGGGAGGCAGCAGUGGGGAAUAUUGGACAAUGGGCGAAAGCCUGAUCCAGCAAUGCCGCGUGAGUGAUGAAGGCCCUAGGGUUGUAAAGCUCUUUUACCAGGGAUGAUAAUGACAGUACCUGGAGAAUAAGCUCCGGCUAACUCCGUG